UUUUCUCCUCUCCCGAACUCCCGACUCCCGUGCAUCUUCUCCCGUGCCCUAAAACGUUGCUUCCGUCUGGCGCACCACCGUUCCUCCUUCGCCCCCUGUUGCUCACACACUGGCAGCCCUUUGCUAAUCCCGCAUCCUCUCUGUCGUGCUCGUCUUCUCCAUAUUUUCCAGCGAUCCCUUCCAUUCAUCACAUCCUCUCUGUUGUGGAUUACUUGGUGUUAGAAAUCAUUCAUAGGUUUCCUUAAUUAUAAGACAUUAUGGGAGGCCAUAAUCCUGGUAUCGAUGUGGAGAAAUAUGAGUGGUCAAAGACUAAUGUUGCCAUGUUUGUCGAGAUCAUUUAUGAUAAAGUGAAGCACAAUAAGUUACAAACAUCUACCUUUAGUAAUGUGGUUUGGGAGGAAAUCAACAAAGAAUUAUAUCAAACUACGAAGAUGAAUUAUGGUGUCGAUAGGCUCAAAGGUAAAUGGAAUCGUCUACACACCAGACAACGACCUUUUUACUGCAUUGCUUGCUCAUACUAGUGUGACAAUGGAUCCAGACACUGGUAAAGUGAAUGCUCCAGAGGAAGUGUGGGCAGAAUUUUAUAUGGUAAAUAUUUUUAUCUAUUCAAAUAUAUAUUUUUAUUGUAUGCUAGUGUAUAAUAAAAUGCUUUCCUAAUCAAUUGUACAGAAAAAUAAAAGGGAGUACAAGUCAAUACAAAUGGAAGGUUGUGAUCAUUUUCACAUUCUUAGUGAAGUUUUUGGUGGGACAAUAGCAACAGGUGAUAUGCAUAGGGCUUCUACUCAAUUACCUCCCACAUCUGAUGAAGAGAGAGAGCUUGAAGAAGCAUUCAUUAAUAGAGGUGUUAACUCAUAUGUUGAAGUCGUUGAUGAUGAGAAUGAGGAUGUCGGAGGGGAACCUAAUAAUCGGUGGCGUCGUGUUGCAGAAUCAUCCAAUAGUCGUCGACGUAAAGAUCCUAAACAUUCAAGAAUUGAAAAGUAUGAGGCUUGUAUGGACAAGUGGAGUAAUACCAUGGAACAGCUGAGUGGAGAAUCUAUUUCUAGACAAAAAUACUUGGAGUUGAAGGCUGCUAAGUUAGAACGUGAACAAGAUAUAUCCUGUUCUUCUGGAACUAGCAUGUUCAAUGAUCCAUACUCUAUACAGAUGUGCAUGCAGAUUUUAAAUGGGAUGGAAUCUUUAUCUAUCCAAGCAUACACAAAAGCUACCGAAGCUUUCCUUAAACUUGGUCUGCGUGAAAUUUUCAUGAAAAUUCCAUCAAAUAGGAGAGCUGAAUGGUUGGAUUGCCUCAAUCUUGAGCACGUGUAGGAUCAUAUGUUGCCAAGUUGAUGGGGAGUGAUUUUAUUACCUAGCCGAAGACUACUUAAUGUUAAUGGAGUUUGUUUGAUUUUGUGGCUUGAAUAUUGAAGACUUGUUUGAUAUUUUGGAAUUUAAUGUUGAAGCCUAUGUUGAUCUUUUCAAUAUGAAUUGUUUAUUCGGUGUUUAUGUGAUGAAUCUAUUGAUAAUUUGAUACAUGUGUGUUGAUUUUAAUAUUGGUUUGAUGCAGAUCAUGUCAAGCUCUGAUAAUGAAUAUGAUGAAUUAGGUCCAGAUAUUAAUUUGCUGAUAGUUUUGGGUAUUGCAAAUGAUUUUUUUCAUGACAUGAUGAUUGAAUAUUUUGGAUACAUUGAUCGAAUGUCGUGUCGAACUUCAUCUCUUAAUGGGAGGAUGUAUAUACAAGAAAUACUUGAUGGGCACCCCCAAGUUUGCUUUGACAAUUUUCGUAUGUCAAAACAUGUGUUUGUUAAUUUUUGUAAUACAUUAAAAGAGAUGAAUCUAUUGCAAGAUAGAAAGAAAGUUGCAGUUGAAGAAGGUGUCGCUAUGUUCUUACUAAUUGUCGGGCACAACACACGACAUCGGAUAUGUGCAGAUUGAUUUCAACAUUCAUUCUACACCAGUAGCAUGUGGUUCAAACGAGUUCUACGAGCUGUUUGUACCUUGGGCACAUAUAUUAUUCGACCAUAUGAACACAAUGACGUCCAUCCUCACAUAUUGAACAAUCCAAAGUGGUUUCCGUAUUUUAAGGUACAUAUGCUACACUAAUGUGUCUACUUACAUUAACAACUUAUCCUUAACACAUUGUGCAUUUUUAGAAUUGUCUUGGAGCUAUCGAUGGGACUCACGUGUCGGCAUGGGCACCAUCAUCAAUUCAGACAUCUUUUCAUGGUAGAAAGGUUAUUGUUACACAAAAUGUGAUGCUUGCAUGUGAUUUCGAUAUGCUUUUCACAUUUGUAUAUACUGGUUGGGAGGGGACAGCAAAUGAAUCCAGGGUGUUCAUAGACGCAUUGACAAGGCAUGAAAAUAAUUUUCCUAAACCUUGCGGUGGUAAAUAACAUAUAAAACUCUAUAUAUAUAUUCAUUUAUGUUGAUAUUUUACAUCAUUAAUAUGGAAACAAUAUAUGCAGAUCAAUUUAUCUUGUUGAUUCUGGUUACCUAAACAUGCCGGGGUUUCUCGCUCCGUAUUGAGGUCGACGCUAUCACUUGUGAGAUUAUCGGGGGCAAGGCAGACCAAGGGGGAAGGAAGAGUUAUUUAAUUAUAGGCACAGUACAUGUCGUAAUAUUAUAGAGCGGUGCAUUGGGGUGCUCAAAGCAAGGUUCCGAAUUUUAAAAGAUAUGUCAAACUAUCCAAUUACUAGGCAAAGAUUAAUUCCAGUUGCAUGUUGUGCGGUGCAUAAUUUCAUACGUCGACAUCAUGCAAUGGAUAAUUUGUUUAUGGAAUACUCUUCUGAUGAUAUGCUUAUGUCCGGAGUCGAAGGUGAUUUUAAUGAUCAAGAGCCGAUUCCAAUUGAUUCAAGUCAAACAGCUCAGAUGGGAAGCAUACGUGAUGAAAUUGCAAGCAAUAUGUGGAAUGAUUAUAUGGUGUACCCCCCAAGUACCCAACCUUAGUUUUCCCUUGAAACAUCAGUCUCUUGCUACAGCCUCGAAAGAAUGAAUAGAAGCUCCAUGGAGUAAAUUCUAAUUUUGCACUCUUGUAAUUGAGCACCUAAAUUGUCACAAGUGUUGGUUUCGAUUUUGUUAUGCUCGCGAUAAUUGGCCUUUAUCUUAUCGUCCUUUUUACUGUUCUGGUCAUCGCAACACAAGGUUUCGAUGAACUUCUACUUAUGAUUCGACGUCCGCCGACUCGCAAGUCCAAAGCAGCAUGAGCAUGAGUCGCGUUUUGUUAUUGACUUAUUUUAGCCAUGUACGAGUUUUUGUUAUUUUUAGUAAUCGAAUUCAAUUGGAAAUUUUGGUGUUAUCUCUCAAUGGACGAUGUAUUGUUAUUGACUUAUUUUAGCCGUGUACGAGUUUUUGUUAUUUCUAGCGAUCGAAUUCAGUUGGAAAUUUGUAUGUUAUUGUUUUAAUUAUGUCUCCUUAAUAAGAUCGAUCAGCAGUAUAA